AGACCCGUUGAAUUUCUUGUCGCAUCUGGUGAGGAGGCAAUACCAGUGGAAUGCAGAUCGCGGCUUCCGGGGUCACGUGAUGCGGUGGUGGAAUGCAAGUCCGCGCCUCCCGCGUCACGUGACACUCCGAUCACUUGAUCGUCACUCCAAGCAGCCCAUACAGUAUAAAACCACCGUGCUCACAGGCGAGUGUCCUGUGAUCCAGCGUGCCAUACACCCCAGCUACUAGUACCAGAUAACUAGAACACUGAAGAAGGUCCAUUUGGGAUCGAAAUAUCCGGUCAGCACGAUUAUCAAAAGUGGCUAUGAUAUUGCACAAUGUAACUGGAUCAUGAUUUAUAUAUAAUGAUGUCAAACUAAUAAAUGGUAUAAA